CGGAAACGUAUCAAAGAAACUUAACGUCGUUUAUCUACAAAAAUAGUUAACGCCAAUCUUAAAUUUAAUUGUCAACUCUAAACAAUUCAUUCAUUAUAAUUUAAUUAAUAAACUAGUAUGAGUGUCCAUCAAAUUGCUAGUGGAAAUAUUAAAAUGAGCAACAGUGGCCGCAGAUCUGUCAACAAUCUAACCUAAAGUUCAUUUGUCAUUAAAAACAAAUCGAAUAUAUCAAGAAUAAGACACGAAUAUGUAAUAAAAAACAAUAGAUAUUUUUUCUAAACACACGUUGAUUCGUGCAUUCCCACCAAAUCAAAGGACUUUUUCUACUUAUCAGUUCAGCAAGAGGAUAAUGGCUAAUUAAUUAGAGCAGCUGAAAUUUUAUUCUGAUUUCAUUGAAGAAAAAUAACUUCUGUGAAGCUUUUCUACUUGAGGCAGUGAUAAAAACUGAAAUCUUCUAAAAUUUUCGUCUAAAAAAUGUAUCAUAGAACAAGACCACAUGCAACUGCAAUUUAAAAAGCCAAAUUUUAUUCCUACAAAAUUAAUUUUGAAUUUGUU